rnacentral:rRNA from 1 species
AUGGGUAUAGACGGUCUUUCAUUAUUCUUCAUGAUAUUGACCACAUUUCUGAUCCCUAUUUGCAUUUUAGUGGGUUGGUCUGGUUUGAGAAGUUUUGGGAAAGAGUAUAUUACAACAUUUCUAAUUCGUGAAUUUGUAAUGAUCGCCGUGUCCUGCAUGCUGGAUCCUCUACUAUUCUAUGUUCUUUCCGAAAGCAUGGCAAUCCCUAUGUUGUGCGGAGCUGAGCAUCUUCUAUUCACUGGGAUCAAGCUUUUCCUCUGCAGGGGCCUUGUGCAGUAA